GGAGUCGGACAGAGGCGGGCCUGCUGCCACCAGGAUCAGGUCGUCCUCGAGUUUGGCUGGCAUCACCUCGUCGCCCUGCAGGGAACGAAUGAAAAUGAAGCGCACUCAGAGCCACAGCCAGUCGUAUCCGUACAUCCUACUUCUCAGACCUGGUAGCUGCCAACACUUAGCCGCCACGGGGAUCCUAGAAGGUCCCACAGACGCUGCUGCUCUUUCCGACCCUCCGCCUUCAACAUGUCAUCACAUCAGUGCUUCUCAUUAUGCCGCCUACAGCCGUUCAUUGGACUGAGAAGUUCUUCCCAUGAUGAGUCGCAGAUCCACCAGGUGAAACCCUGGAAAUACCACCAUUCAUUUCUUAAAAGAAAAAAAGAAACUAAUUUCAUUCUUUUUCCCCCAGUAUAUCAUACAGUCUCUUUUUCACCAAAUCUGUCGCUAUGUACUUUGUGUCUUAAACUGGUAAUUAGCGCAAAUGUUGCACCAUGGUAGUGCAAGGUCACACACACACACACACACACACACAUUGACUGUUCCCUAUUCGUGUCUCAGUUCAUUAGUCAGGCAGUUAUUACGGGUUCAUUUCUUCGUCAGAGAAAUGCUGCUUAGACUCUAGGAGCAAACGUUUCCUCCCGUUGCUACAGUAACAGUGGAGCUGAGCUGACACCAGCAUUCCUGGAAGCUUCAUUAUGCUGAUCCGAAGUGUUUUGUCACUAUUCACAAAAAUGUACUUUUUAAUCACCAUUCGUUCGAAAAUCAAGUAUGUACCCAGAGAACCGGUCAUUACCGGUCAAGACUCCCUCAUCAUGCUGGUAUAACAUAUUUGAAAAUCUUGUGUCGCAAUUCUUACCCUCGCAGUAGCGCACACGUUUUAGUCGAUCUACUGCAUGAAAUUUUGCAAAUUCAUGCUGAACUGUGUCAUUGUAACGUAAAACGUGGGAA